UACGGAGGGUGCGAGCGUUGUCCGGAAUCAUUGGGCGUAAAGGGCGCGUAGGUGGCCCGGUCAGUCUUUGGUGAAAGCGCGGGGCUCAACCCUGCGUCGGCCAGGGAUACGGCCGCGGCUCGAGCACUGUAGAGGCAGGCGGAAUUCCAGGUGUAGCGGUGGAAUGCGUAGAGAUCCGGAAGAACACCGGUGGCGAAGGCGGCCUGCUGGGCAGUAUAGCUGACACUGAGGCGCGACAGCGUGGGGAGCAAACAGG
rnacentral:rRNA from 1 species